rnacentral:lncRNA from 1 species
UCAAUUAUUCAAAAUCUUACAAUUCCUAAAUUAUGAUGUCUUCACCUAAAAUGUGCUAAAUUUCUAAUUCUCAUCAUUUCUUAUUGGUAGGAAACAACUUGCCUCUGGUGAGAAAUUACGGUGGGCCUCUAAGAGAUCUCGAUGAAUGUGAUGUAACUCAUCCUCAUGAAUCCAAGUAGCAUCUAAAUCUGAUCGAUCCUACCACUUAAUCAAAAUCUUUGAAAUCCACAAUAAGCAGAAGAAACAAUCUCAUUAGUGAUAAUGCACUCAAUACGGUCCGAUGACUAUGACGGAAGUGGAGGAAGAAUUAGAUCUAGCACUGAAGAUGUAGUGCAACCAGUAGGAACUCCUGCAUGCAUAGUAGAAAGCUCAAAUGUGCUCUGAUAAGAAUAUAAGUCCACAACAUUGAAAUUAUACUAAAUUUCAAAUCAAAAGAUAACUCUAAAUAAUAAGCAUUAGAUCCAAUUCUAUUCUCGACGUGCGAACAAUUUCUGUUUGUUCGCUGAGUUUAUCUCUUCAU